GAGGGGGAUAAAUUAAUAAAUUUUAAUUAAUAAAAAAAUUUUUUAUAUGAGAAUGGGGGUUUUAGUAUAAAUAAUUGAAAAAAUUAAUUUAAUUUAUAGUUAAUUAGUAUUGUAAAAGAAUUUUGAAAUAAUUGAAAUAAAAUUUUUUGGAAAGUAAAUUUCAUUUAUUGUAUCUUGUGUAUCAGAGUUUAUUAAUAAAAAUUUAUAUGUAAAAUAAAUUCUCGAAUUUAAAAGAGAUAAUUAAUUAAAAAAUUUACUGUUGCAUAAGUAUUUUUCAUAGUUAAUUUGAAAUGAAAUGUUAAUCGUUUUUAAAUAUAUCUAGUUUUUUUAGAAAAAAAUUUAAUUUUAAAUUAUUUCAAAAAAUUGUUAAUUAAUUAAUAACUUUUUGAAAUAAUUUUAUAUUUUAAGGGAUAAGCUUUAAAUUAAAUUUAUAUAAUUAAUUGUUUAUGAAAUAUUUGAAAAUUAUAUAAUUUAAAUUGUUAAUAAAUUAUAAUUUAUUAUAAAUAAUUUCAAAUUAAAUAAAAUUUAAUAAAAAUUUAUAAAUUUAUAAAAAAAUAAUUUUUAAUUUUAAAAAAUUAGAUAUAAUGAUAAAAUUAGUAUAUAAAUUAAUUUAUUUAAAAUUAAUUUAAUAAAAUUAAUAUAAAGGAAUUCGGCAAAAUUUUAUAUUCACUUGUUUAUCAAAAACAUGUCUUUUUGAAAAUAAUAUAAAGUCUAAUCUGCCCACUGAUUUUAAAAUUAAAGGGCUGCAGUAUUUUGACUGUACAAAGGUAGCAUAAUCAUUAGUCAUUUAAUUGAUGACUUGUAUGAAAGAUUGGAUGAAAUAUAAACUGUCUUUAAAUUAAUAAAAUAGAAUUUAAUUUUUUAUUUAAAAAGUUAAAAUAAAUAAAAAAGACGAGAAGACCCUAUAGAGUUUUAUAAAUUUUUUACUUAAAAUUAUUUAUAAAAUUAAUUAUUAAAAUUAAAAAAUUUAUUUUAUUGGGGUGAUAAAAAAAUAAAUAAAACUUUUUUUAAAAUUAACCAUAAAUAAGUGAAUAAUUGAUCCAAUUUUAUUGAUUAUAAGAAUAAAUUACCUUAGGGAUAACAGCGUAAUUUUUUUUUUUAGUUCAAAUAAAAAUAAAAGUUUGCGACCUCGAUGUUGGAUUAAGAUAAAAUUUAAAUGCAGAAGUUUAAAAUUUUUGAUCUGUUCGAUCAUUAAAAUCUUACAUGAUCUGAGUUCAAACCGGUGUAAGCCAGGUUGGUUUCUAUCUUUUUAAAAAUAAAAUAUUUUAGUACGAAAGGAUUAAAUAUUUAAAUUAAAUUUAUAAAUUAAGAAUAUUAUUAAAAUUUAAGAUAAAU
rnacentral:rRNA from 1 species